AUCCAGUUGACAAGUCCCGAAUAGGACGAAACGCGCGUCCUGGAU
rnacentral:hammerhead_ribozyme from 1 species